GCGAGCUGGGUUUAGAACGUCGUGAGACAGUUCGGUCCCUAUCUGCCGUGGGCGCAGGAUAUUUGAGGAGAUCUGUCCUUAGUACGAGAGGACCGGGAUGGACGAACCUCUAGUGUACCAGUUGUCUCGCCAGAGGCAUCGCUGGGUAGCUAUGUUCGGCAGGGAUAAGCGCUGAAAGCAUCUAAGCGCGAAGCCCACUCCAAGAUAAGAUAUCCCGUGGGUUAACCCACCUGAAGGCUCCUUGUAGACUACGAGGUCGAUAGGUCGCAGGUGUAAGCGCAGCAAUGCGUUCAGCCGAGCGAUACUAAUCAGCCGUGCGGCUUGAUCAA
rnacentral:rRNA from 1 species